UACGUAGGGUGCAAGCGUUGUCCGGAAUUAUUGGGCGUAAAGAGCUCGUAGGCGGUUUGUCGCGUCUGCUGUGAAAACCCGAGGCUCAACCUCGGGCCUGCAGUGGGUACGGGCAGACUAGAGUGCGGUAGGGGGAGAUUGGAAUUCCUGGUGUAGCGGUGGAAUGCGCAGAUAUCAGGAGGAACACCAAUAGCGAAGGCAGCUCGCUGGGACGGUAUUGACGCUGAGACGCGAAAGCGUGGGGGAGCAAACAGG
rnacentral:rRNA from 1 species